UGGUGCGAUAAUAACAGCACUAAUGCACCGGAUCUCAUCAGAACUCCGAAGUUAAACGUGCUUGGGCGAGAGUAGUACUAAGAUGGGUGACCUCUUGGGAAGUCCUCGUGUUGAACCUC
rnacentral:rRNA from 1 species